UCUUCUAGAAAAACCUGCAUCACCUCCCCUUUAUAUACACUCAGUGAAAGAAUUGACAGGUGAAAAUAGUAUGGGCAGCAGAUGUCUUUUUUUUCUCAGAUGAGUGCAAAUAAAGGAGAUGAGGAGAGGUCCGAUGUUUUUGACAAUAGACAAUGAGCCAUUUGCAUCAUCACCUGCUGAACACUCCGUUCCCGUGUCGAGUCCAACUUCUCGUAGCCUUCGUUUUAGGAGUUCAUUCUCUCUCUUCGUCCGGGCAGUCUCCUCCUCGAAUUCUGACACUGUCCCCCCAACAACCUCCAGUAUCUCAUCUAUACCACCAUUAACCGCUCGGUGAGCCGUCUCUUCUCGGUACUCGGCCACUGUGUCCCCGACUACGUCCAGAAUCUCCCGCACCACUACCGUUAAACGUUCUGUCAGGUCAUUGCAGGCGGUGGCUCUCCUGGGAAAAUGCAGGCUGUAGGACCAUGCCUCAGGACUACCUGGCCUGAUGACUCCUUGCUG